AGUGAACGCUGGCGGUAGGCCUAACACAUGCAAGUCGAACGGCAGCACAGUAAGAGCUUGCCCUUACGGGUGGCGAGUGGCGGACGGGGGAGGAAUACAUCGGACUCUACUUUUUCGUGGGGGAUAACGUCGGUACACUUACGCUAAUACUGCAUACGACCUACUGUUGAAAGCAGGGGAUCUUCGGAACUUGUGUGAUUGAAUGAGCCGAUGUCGCAUUUGCUAGUCGGCGGGGUAAAGGCCCACCAAGGCAACGCACCGUAGAGGGUCUGAGCGGAUGAUAAGCUCCCCUGGAACUGAGACACGGUCCAGACUCCUACGGGAGGCAGCAGAGGGGAAUAUUAGACAAUGGGCGCAAGCCUGGUCCAGCCAUGCCGCGUGGGUGAAAAAGGCCUUCCGGUUGUAAAGCCCUUUUGUUGGGAAAGAAGAGCAGCAGGUUAAUACCCCGCUGUUCUGACGGUACCCAAUGAAUAAGCACCGGCUAACUUCGUG
rnacentral:rRNA from 1 species